UUUUAGGGUUCCGUAGCCAAAUGGCAAAAAACGGAACCCUUAUGGAUUCGUCAUGUCUGUCUGUCUGUCUGUCUGUCCGUCCGUAUGUCACAGCCACUUUUUUCCGAAACUAUAGAACUAUACUGUUGAAACUUGGUAAGUAGAUGUAUUCUGUGAACCGCAUUAAGAUUUUCACACAUAAAUAGAAAAAAAAACAAUAAAUUUUGGGAGUUCCCCCCAUACUACGUAUAUGUAGAACUGAACCUCAAAUUUUUUUUUUCAUCAAACCCAUACGUGUGGGGUAUCUUAUGAGUAGGUCUUCAAAAAUGAUAUUGAGGUCUCUAAUAUCAUUUUUUUCUAAACAGAAUAGUUUGCGCGAGAGACACUUCCAAAGUGGUAAAAUUUUGAACGAGAUCUAGUAAGUAGAUUUUUUUUAAUACGUCAUAAA